AAAGUGGCGCAAGGUCUCUGACGCAGAGCCCAAAUGUUUUUGGUGCAAAUCCAGAGAUGUAUUCACUUACUAGAAUGUACAGAACACAGGGAAGCAGUGCCAACAGGACACAGCACAGAGGAAAGCAAAGAGAAGACUACCCACGUAAUACAAUCUGUACAGCUGGACUGCCAGGACAGAAGUGACUUUGUCUGUUUGAAGUGCAAGCUGGUUUGCAUAUUGAAAGAGAAGGUCAGAGGACUAGAGAACCAAGUAUCAACCCUGGCUUGCCUCAGAGAAAACAAAGAUUUUCUGGAUAGAAGUGUCAGUGUUUGGUUCUGGAAGCAAAAUGUGCUGAAGAAUCAGAGACUGCAGAGCAGAGCAGGGAAGAAUAUUGGCAGCACGUGACCUCCAGAGGAAGAAAGAGGAGAACCUAUGUACCCCCAAUGCAGAUAGAGGUGCACAACCAUUUUCAGGCUCUCUGCACAGGUACUACUGUGGAGAAGGAUUUGGAAGAGCCCUUUGAGGGAAAGAGUCAGAAGGAGACUCUGUCGGCCGGAAGGCAUGGGAUGCAUCGUCCUAGGGAUGGGGGUUCCACGACCACCACUCCCAGGAGGAGGAGACGGGUGGGCGUGGUCAGGGACUCCCUCCUAAGGGGAACAGAGUCAUCCAUCUGUCGACCAGACCAGGAGACUUGAGAAGUGUGCUGCUUCCCUGGAGCUAGAAUCCAGGAUGUGACGGAGUGUUUGCUGAGACCGAUCAAGACCUCGGACCACUACCCCUUCCUACUUCUCCAUGUGGGCACCAAUGAUACUUCUAAGAAUGAUCUUUAGCAGAUCACUGCAUGCUACGUGGCUUUGGGAAGAAGGAUAAAGGAGUUUGAGAUGCAGGUCGUGUUCUCGUCCAUCCUCCCUGUUGAAGGAAAAGGCCCAGGUAGGGACUGUCAAAUUGUGGAGGUGAAUGCAUGGUUACGCAGGUGGUGUCGGAGAGAGGACUUUGGAUUCUUCGACCAUGGGAUGUUGUUCUGGGAAGAAGGACUGCUAGGAAGAGAUGGGAUCCACCUAACAAAGAGAGGGAAGAGCAUCUUCACAGGCAGGCUGCUAACCUAGUGAGGAGGGCUUUAAACUAGGUUCGCCGGGGGAUGGUGAGCUAAACCCAGAGAGUCUGCAGACAUGUCGACAUUUCAGGGGUAUCAGUAUCAAAGGCAGCUGUCAGAUCUACAGAAACAACAUGGAGAUUUGGUCUUCAUCCAUCAUCAAGAGAAGAUUGACAACUGAAAUGAGAGCAACUUCCAACCACACCAUCGAAUCUACCAUCUCUGGGCCCAGACCCUUAUAUCCCUUCCUCUUCCAAAAAAAUUAUUUGUGCAGCUCCUUCUCCAAAUAAAGUACAU